GUUAAUCCAGCUAUACCAUAUAUGUGCACACCAACAAGCAAUGUGAAGAAGGCUGUGUACGGUGUCCAGACUGUGACUGAUCGAUUCCCUGUUUUUACGCUGUAUGAUUUUCCCAUGAUAAUGACCCUAGAAUAAGCUUCUUUUUUUUCUGUAAACCCCUACCUGCUCUACUGAAAUUGAAAAACAAAACUGAUUUUUUUUUUUUUAAUGGCCUACAAUCUAAA